rnacentral:lncRNA from 1 species
GAUGAACUAAGACUUAGGACAGGUUCCUACGAUGUACCUUGAUGUUGGAGACAGCAAUUUUUGUAUUUUGUUUUAAGCUGAGUUCCUUGGAGCCUCAGGGAUUCUUUUAUAGGGUUUGGGUAAAAAAGAGGUGUGUGGAUAUAGGAAAGCUGGGUUUCAUCAGCAAGGAACUGAGCCAAAGGCCAGGUCUCAACAGGACUGUAAAAUUCGUUGAUUGGGAAGAAUAGCACAAUCUUUUGACAGCCUCCAGGUCUUACUUUUAUGUACUUCCU